UACGGAGGGGGCUAGCGUUGUUCGGAAUUACUGGGCGUAAAGCGCGCGUAGGCGGACCUGCAAGUCGGGGGUGAAAGCCCGAGGCUCAACCUCGGAACUGCCUUCGAUACUGCGGGUCUCGAGUCCGGGAGAGGUGAGUGGAAUUCCUAGUGUAGAGGUGAAAUUCGUAGAUAUUCGGAAGAACACCAGUGGCGAAGGCGGCUCACUGGUCCGGUACUGACGCUGAGGUGCGAAAGCGUGGGGGGCAAACAGG
rnacentral:rRNA from 1 species